rnacentral:rRNA from 1 species
GACGAACGCUGGCGGCGUGCUUAACACAUGCAAGUCGAACGGAAAGGCCUAGCUUGCUGGGUACUCGAGUGGCGAACGGGUGAGUAACACGUGGGUGAUCUGCCCCUGACUUUGGGAUAAGCCUGGUAAACUGGGUCUAAUACCGGAUAUUCAUUUUUCCUCGCAUGGGGAUUUGUGGAAAGCUUUUGCGGUUGGGGAUGGGCCCGCGGCCUAUCAGCUUGUUGGUGGGGUAAUGGCAUACCAACGCGACGACGGGUAGCCGACACGGGAGGGGGAUCGGCCACACUGGGACUGAGACACGGCCCGGACGCCAACGGGAGGCAGCGGUGGGGAAUAUUGCACAAUGGUCGCGAGCCUGGUGCAGCGACGCCGGGAGGGUGAUGACGGCUUUCGGGUUGUAAACCGCUUUCAGCUCCGACGAAGCGUUAGUGACGGUAGCAGCAGAAGAAGCACCGGCCAACUCCGUG